rnacentral:tRNA from 1 species
GCCCGGGUGGUGAAAUUGGUAGACGCAGCGGACUUAAAAUCCGCCGGCCGAAAGGCUGUACGGGUUCGAUUCCCGUCCCGGGCACCA